CCUCCGCCACUGCGUCUGUCUUCCAAAAUCUGGCGGCGCACACAACCAAUUCGCCGCCGGGCCCCCACCUCUCCACCCGCAUGGCCGAUCUGUGAACAGAGCAAGCAUCAAUGGAGUAGGUUCCUCCUAAUCUUUCCACUCCCCUCUCUCCUUUGGAUCAAGCUCCCUCCACCUGGAGGAAGGGCUGAAGCCGGGUCGAUUCCGUCGUGCGUCAGAGCUUAGAGGCAUCACCGCCGGGGCGCGUCACCGGGCCACACGCCGAGAGAGCAGCGCGGUUACUGGCUGCACGUUGGAGCCUUGGAGGUUGCUGGCUCGCAGCAGGCUGGGGCUGCUGGACAUGGAGAUCAGAUGGAGCAUAAGUCAGCGAGUACUUCAAUCUCAAGUUCGAGCUCCCCGUCCAGCCCCAUGUCUUCGUCUUCACAUGAAUCACUGAGCGACUACUUCGUCGGCCAAACACCCGGCUCCUGCUGCAAAGAUGUCCACUGUCCAAGACCCGUGCGUAUCAUUAUUCUCCCUGUCUGUGCCGCGCAACAGCAGUUUCCUGUAGCCCUGCCUCCAUCAGCUUCUCCCUCUUCCUUGCAAUCGGUUGUCCAGAAUGCGCUGGCCGCUGGGCGUAAGUACCAAGUGGCUGGCUGUUUAGUUAGAUUGCUGUGGCUGGUUGUUUAGUUAGAUUACUGACAACAAUGUCCCAUUCAUUUGUGCGCAUGAUGAUCAGCAAGAUUCAUGGACAGCGCAAAUUAAGUAGUAGAGCAGAGCGUUUAUCUUAUCA